GAUGAAGAACGCAGCGAAAUGCGAUACGUAAUGUGAAUUGCAGAAUUCAGUGAAUCAUCGAAUCUUUGAACGCAUAUUGCGCUCUCUGGUAUUCCGGAGAGCAUGCUUGUUUGAGUAUCAGUAAACACCUCAACUUCCAUAUCUUUUUUGAAAUGGGAGUUGGACUUGAGUGAUCCCAACGCUUUUCCUCACCGAAAAGUGGCGGGUUACUUGAAAUGCAGGUGCAGCUGGACUUUUCUCUGAGCUAUAAGCAUAUCUAUUUAGUCUGCCUAAAAACAGAUUAUUACCUUUGCUGCAGCUAACAUAAAGGAGAUUAGUUCUUGUGCUGACUGAUGCAGGAUUCACAAAGACAGGCUUCGGCCGACUUUGUAAACUCGAUCUCAAAUCAAGUAAGACUACCCGCUGAACUUAAGCAUAUCAAUAAGCGGAGA
rnacentral:misc_RNA from 1 species